UAUAAAAAAUCGUAGACAAAGCCCGCCCACGGAGACACCCAAUUUUCGUGCACCCAUGUCGUCGUCUUCACUUCUCCAGCUUCUUCGCAGACCACUGUCCUCUGCUCUCAGAAUCAGAUCUCUCUCUCUCCAACACUUCUCCACUUCACUUCCUCAUAUUUUGGAGGAGACCAAAGACAAUGCUAAGAUUGGAAGAAACCCUAGCUUUAUUCAUCCAGCUGCAAUUGUUCAUUCAGGGGCCGUCAUAGGUCAGGGUGUUUCAAUUGGUCCAUUUUGUACAGUUGGCUCUUCUGCAAAGUUGGGUAAUUCUUGUCAGCUAUAUCCAGGAAGUCAUAUUUUUGGGAAUACAGAACUUGGGGAUCACUGCAUUUUGAUGAGUGGCGCUGUGGUUGGAGACGAUCUUCCUGGGCAUACAGUCAUUGGAUGCAAUAAUGUUAUAGGGCAUCAUUCUUUGGUUGGUAUAAAAUGCCAAGAUAUGAAAUACAAGUCAGGUGAUGAAUGCUUUCUAGAGAUUGGAGACAACAAUGAGAUCAGGGAAUAUGCCUCUAUCCAUCGAUCUUCCAAGCCAAGUGAAAAAACAGUCAUUGGUGAUAACAAUCUGAUUAUGGGGUCUUGUCAUAUUGCCCAUGACUGCAAAGUGGGUAACAACAAUAUUUUUGCAAAUAAUACUCUUUUAGCAGGCCAUGUGGUGGUGGAGGACUAUGCUCACACUGCAGGGGCCAUUGUUGUUCAUCAAUUUUGCAGUGUUGGCUCUUUCUCUUUCAUUGGUGGUGGUUCUGUGGUUUCACAAGAUGUCCCAAAAUACAUGAUGGUGUCUGGAGAAAGAGCUGAGCUUCGUGGUUUAAAUUUGGAAGGUCUAAAACGGUGUGGAUUCUCAGAUACUGAGAUCAGGAGCCUGAGAACAGCUUACAGGAAGAUAUUCAUGUCUACUGAUGCAAAUUCUGGGGGUAUCGAAAAUCGUCUUGCCGAAGUGGAGAAGCAUGAAGAAUUGGCUUAUGUUCCUGCUGUGUGUUUGAUGGUACAGUCCAUUCGUGAUUCUUUUUCUGAAGAUCGUCGUGGAAUUUGCAAGUCCCGAUCAUUGAGUGUUUCUUGAAUGUGUGCCAUACUCAUAGAUAUUGCUCAAAGUUAAUAUACAUUUGAUUCUAUCAUGAUAAUGGACCAUGCCACGGCUGAUUGGACAGGAAAAAUGUUGGUGUUUAUGUGCUGGUUUCAGACUACUACUCUUUAGAGCGUACUGAACAACCAUUAAUUUGUCGAGCCAAUUGUAGAGCUGUGUAUGAAAUUAACCAGGCAGCUUUUGCUUGUAUGUACUGAUGCUUAUGUUGUAGCAGUUAUGGUAACUACGGAGGAAGAGUGAAUUUCAGCUUAUGGGAUUCUUAAAAGGGAUAUUAAUUACUGAACUUAGUUUAUACGAGAUUAGGCACUGUGAAUGCCUUGUAUUAAUUCAGAAUUAAGACUAUUGACCUAGAUGUACAUAUUGGUUGCUGUGAUUAAUUGAUCUCUUUGUGCAGUGCCCAUCUUCUCUUUUA